rnacentral:sRNA from 1 species
GAAUAUGUAUAAAACAUUCCUGUGUAUUAUUUUCAUCAAUUUAUUGUUAGAGAUGUAUGAAAAUUUAAACAUGGAUCAAACACUUCAACUUUGCUAUAAACUAGAGUAUUGUCUUGUGAAAUUAUUGGAUAUAAAGAAUUGAAUUCUGUUGUCACUGUCUGAAACUAUUCAUUUGUGUGGAAUCAAGAUGUGGAGAUUUUCUUCCUGUUGAAUUUAGGUUGUAAAUAAUCUUUGUAGACGGAAUAAAAUAUUUGACUUGCAUGUAGAUCUUGUAUCCACCGAUAAUAUUUGUAAACAUUUUUCAAGAAUAGAAUGGAAUAAACACAUAAUAUAU